rnacentral:rRNA from 1 species
UACGGACUGUGCAAACGUUAUUCGGAAUCACUGGGCUUAAAGAGUCCGUAGGCGGCAUGUUAGGUGAGGUGUGAAAUCCCCCGGCUCAACCGAGGAAUUGCGCUUCAAACCGGCGUGCUCGAGGAAGAUAGAGGUGGGCGGAACUGAUGGUGGAGCGGUGAAAUGCGUUGAUAUCAUCAGGAACACCGGAGGCGAAGGCGGCCCACUGGGUCUUUUCUGACGCUGAGGGACGAAAGCUAGGGGAGCGAACGGG